GACGAACGCUGGCGGCGUGCUUAACACAUGCAAGUCGAACGAUGAUCCGGGUGCUUGCACCUGGGGAUUAGUGGCGAACGGGUGAGUAACACGUGAGUAACCUGCCCUGGACUCUGGGAUAACCCCGAGAAAUCGGAGCUAAUACCGGAUAGGACCUUUCCUCGCAUGAGGUGGGGUGGAAAGUUUUUUCGGUUUGGGAUGGACUCGCGGCCUAUGAGCUUGUUGGUGAGGUAAUGGCUCACCAAGGCGUCGACGGGUAGCCGGCGUGAGAGGGUGACCAGCCAGACUGGGACUGAGACACGGCCCAGACUCCUACGGGAGGCAGCGGUGGGGAAUAUUGCACAAUGGGCGCAAGCCUGAAGCAGCAACGCCGCGUGCGGGAUGACGGCCUUCGGGUUGUAAACCGCUUUUAGUAGGGAAGAAGCCUCUUGGGGUGACGGUACCUGCAGAAAAAGGACCGGCUAACUACGUGCCAGCCGCCGCCGUAACAC
rnacentral:rRNA from 1 species